UACGUAGGGUGCAAGCGUUGUUCGGAUUCAUUGGGCGUAAAGGGUGCGUAGGCGGCGCGGUAAGUCGGGUGUGAAAUCUUGGAGCUUAACUCCGAAACUGCAUUCGAUACUGCCGUGCUUGAGGACUGGAGAGGAGACUGGAAUUUACGGUGUAGCGGUGAAAUGCGUAGAUAUCGUAAGGAAGACCAGUGGCGAAGGCGACUUCCUGGCCUGUUCUUGACGCUGAGGCGCGAAAGCUAGGGGAGCAAACGGG
rnacentral:rRNA from 1 species